rnacentral:rRNA from 1 species
UUCCUUUAAGUUUCAGUCUUGCGACCGUACUCCCCAGGCGGCAGACUUAACGGCUUCCCUGCGGCACUGGGCUGGCGCAAAGCCAGCCCAUCACCGAGUCUGCAUCGUUUACAGCUGGGACUACCCGGGUAUCUAAUCCGGUUUGCUCCCCCAGCUUUCAUCCCUCACCGUCGAGCGCGUUCUGGCAAGCCGCCUUCGCCACUGGUGGUCUUCAAUGGAUCAGUGGAUUUUACCCCUACCCAUUGAGUACCGCUUGCCUCUCCCGCCUCCUAGCCCUGUAGUAUCCUCCGCGGCCCAUCUGUUGAGCAGGUGGAUUUAACGGAGGACUUGCAGAACCGGCUACGGAUGCUUUA